UACGAAAGGGGCAAGCGUUGUUCGGAUUUACUGGGCGUAAAGGGCACGCAGGCGGUCUCGCCAGUCAGGGGUGAAAGCCCGGGGCUCAACCCCGGAACUGCCUCUGAUACUGUGAGACUAGAGACUAGGAGAGGGUGGUGGAAUUCCCAGUGUAGAGGUGAAAUUCGUAGAUAUUGGGAGGAACACCAGAGGCGAAGGCGGCCACCUGGACUAGAUCUGACGCUCAGGUGCGAAAGCGUGGGGAGCAAACAGG
rnacentral:rRNA from 1 species